GAGUUUGAUCCUGGCUCAGGAUGAACGCUGGCGGCGUGCCUAAUACAUGCAAGUCGAGCGAACGGACGAGAAGCUUGCUUCUCUGAUGUUAGCGGCGGACGGGUGAGUAACACGUGGAUAACCUACCUAUAAGACUGGGAUAACUUCGGGAAACCGGAGCUAAUACCGGAUAAUAUUUUGAACCGCAUGGUUCAAAAGUGAAAGACGGUCUUGCUGUCACUUAUAGAUGGAUCCGCGCUGCAUUAGCUAGUUGGUAAGGUAACGGCUUACCAAGGCAACGAUGCAUAGCCGACCUGAGAGGGUGAUCGGCCACACUGGAACUGAGACACGGUCCAGACUCCUACGGGAGGCAGCAGUAGGGAAUCUUCCGCAAUGGGCGAAAGCCUGACGGAGCAACGCCGCGUGAGUGAUGAAGGUCUUCGGAUCGUAAAACUCUGUUAUUAGGGAAGAACAUAUGUGUAAGUAACUGUGCACAUCUUGACGGUACCUAAUCAGAAAGCCACGGCUAACUACGUGCCAGCAGCCGCGGUAAUACGUAGGUGGCAAGCGUUAUCCGGAAUUAUUGGGCGUAAAGCGCGCGUAGGCGGUUUUUUAAGUCUGAUGUGAAAGCCCACGGCUCAACCGUGGAGGGUCAUUGGAAACUGGAAAACUUGAGUGCAGAAGAGGAAAGUGGAAUUCCAUGUGUAGCGGUGAAAUGCGCAGAGAUAUGGAGGAACACCAGUGGCGAAGGCGACUUUCUGGUCUGUAACUGACGCUGAUGUGCGAAAGCGUGGGGAUCAAACAGGAUUAGAUACCCUGGUAGUCCACGCCGUAAACGAUGAGUGCUAAGUGUUAGGGGGUUUCCGCCCCUUAGUGCUGCAGCUAACGCAUUAAGCACUCCGCCUGGGGAGUACGACCGCAAGGUUGAAACUCAAAGGAAUUGACGGGGACCCGCACAAGCGGUGGAGCAUGUGGUUUAAUUCGAAGCAACGCGAAGAACCUUACCAAAUCUUGACAUCCUUUGACAACUCUAGAGAUAGAGCCUUCCCCUUCGGGGGACAAAGUGACAGGUGGUGCAUGGUUGUCGUCAGCUCGUGUCGUGAGAUGUUGGGUUAAGUCCCGCAACGAGCGCAACCCUUAAGCUUAGUUGCCAUCAUUAAGUUGGGCACUCUAAGUUGACUGCCGGUGACAAACCGGAGGAAGGUGGGGAUGACGUCAAAUCAUCAUGCCCCUUAUGAUUUGGGCUACACACGUGCUACAAUGGACAAUACAAAGGGCAGCGAAACCGCGAGGUCAAGCAAAUCCCAUAAAGUUGUUCUCAGUUCGGAUUGUAGUCUGCAACUCGACUACAUGAAGCUGGAAUCGCUAGUAAUCGUAGAUCAGCAUGCUACGGUGAAUACGUUCCCGGGUCUUGUACACACCGCCCGUCACACCACGAGAGUUUGUAACACCCGAAGCCGGUGGAGUAACCUUUUAGGAGCUAGCCGUCGAAGGUGGGACAAAUGAUUGGGGUGAAGUCGUAACAAGGUAGCCGUA
rnacentral:rRNA from 1 species